UACGUAGGGCGCAAGCGUUGUCCGGAAUUAUUGGGCGUAAAGAGCUCGUAGGCGGUUUGUCGCGUCUGCCGUGAAAACCCGAGGCUUAACCUCGGGCUGGCGGUGGAUACGGGCAGACUAGAGGUAGGUAGGGGAGAAUGGAAUUCCCGGUGUAGCGGUGAAAUGCGCAGAUAUCGGGAGGAACACCAAUGGCGAAGGCAGCUCACUGGGACGGCACUGACGCUGAGACGCGAAAGCGUGGGGAGCAAACAGG
rnacentral:rRNA from 1 species